AACGCACAUUGCGCCCCUUGGUAUUCCGAGGGGCAUGCCUGUUCGAGCGUCAUUUCACCACUCAAGCCUGGCUUGGUAUUGGGCGCCGCGGUCCGCCGCGCGCCUCAAUGUUUCCGGCUGAGCCGUCCGUCUCUAAGCGUUGUGGUAACCUAUCCGCUUGCGAGUCGGGGGGCGUCUGGCCGUUAAACUCAUUCAAAGGUUGACCUCGGAUCAGGUAGGGAUACCCGCUGAACUUAA
rnacentral:misc_RNA from 3 species